rnacentral:rRNA from 2 species
AGAGUUUGAUCAUGGCUCAGAUUGAACGCUGGCGGCAGGCCUAACACAUGCAAGUCGAACGGUAACAGGAAGCAGCUUGCUGCUUUGCUGACGAGUGGCGGACGGGUGAGUAAUGUCUGGGAAACUGCCUGAUGGAGGGGGAUAACUACUGGAAACGGUGGCUAAUACCGCAUAACGUCGCAAGACCAAAGAGGGGGACCUUCGGGCCUCUUGCCAUCAGAUGUGCCCAGAUGGGAUUAGCUGGUUGGUGAGGUAACGGCUCACCAAGGCGACGAUCCCUAGCUGGUCUGAGAGGAUGACCAGCCACACUGGAACUGAGACACGGUCCAGACUCCUACGGGAGGCAGCAGUGGGGAAUAUUGCACAAUGGGCGCAAGCCUGAUGCAGCCAUGCCGCGUGUAUGAAGAAGGCCUUCGGGUUGUAAAGUACUUUCAGCGGGGAGGAAGGUGUUGCGGUUAAUAACCGCAGCAAUUGACGUUACCCGCAGAAGAAGCACCGGCUAACUCCGUGCCAGCAGCCGCGGUAAUACGGAGGGUGCAAGCGUUAAUCGGAAUUACUGGGCGUAAAGCGCACGCAGGCGGUCUGUCAAGUCGGAUGUGAAAUCCCCGGGCUCAACCUGGGAACUGCAUUCGAAACUGGCAGGCUUGAGUCUUGUAGAGGGGGGUAGAAUUCCAGGUGUAGCGGUGAAAUGCGUAGAGAUCUGGAGGAAUACCGGUGGCGAAGGCGGCCCCCUGGACAAAGACUGACGCUCAGGUGCGAAAGCGUGGGGAGCAAACAGGAUUAGAUACCCUGGUAGUCCACGCCGUAAACGAUGUCUACUUGGAGGUUGUGCCCUUGAGGCGUGGCUUCCGGAGCUAACGCGUUAAGUAGACCGCCUGGGGAGUACGGCCGCAAGGUUAAAACUCAAAUGAAUUGACGGGGGCCCGCACAAGCGGUGGAGCAUGUGGUUUAAUUCGAUGCAACGCGAAGAACCUUACCUGGUCUUGACAUCCACGGAAGUUUUCAGAGAUGAGAAUGUGCCUUCGGGAACCGUGAGACAGGUGCUGCAUGGCUGUCGUCAGCUCGUGUUGUGAAAUGUUGGGUUAAGUCCCGCAACGAGCGCAACCCUUAUCCUUUGUUGCCAGCGGUCCGGCCGGGAACUCAAAGGAGACUGCCAGUGAUAAACUGGAGGAAGGUGGGGAUGACGUCAAGUCAUCAUGGCCCUUACGACCAGGGCUACACACGUGCUACAAUGGCGCAUACAAAGAGAAGCGACCUCGCGAGAGCAAGCGGACCUCAUAAAGUGCGUCGUAGUCCGGAUUGGAGUCUGCAACUCGACUCCAUGAAGUCGGAAUCGCUAGUAAUCGUGGAUCAGAAUGCCACGGUGAAUACGUUCCCGGGCCUUGUACACACCGCCCGUCACACCAUGGGAGUGGGUUGCAAAAGAAGUAGGUAGCUUAACCUUCGGGAGGGCGCUUACCACUUUGUGAUUCAUGACUGGGGUGAAGUCGUAACAAGGUAACCGUAGGGGAACCUGCGGUUGGAUCACCU